AAACUGAUUCAAAAAAAAUCUAAAAAUAGGUUCAUGCAAAGAUGAAAGAAGAAUUGGUAAUAAAGUUUUCAAAAUAUCAGGUCAUGUUCGUUUCAUCAGUCAGAUGAAUCAUCUGGAUGGAGAUGAAUUUUGAUGUUCGUUUGGUGCCAAAAACGGUUCAUUCAGAUGAUCCAUCCAAAUGAAUCAUCUGGAUGAGUUUGAAAAUUUAGACUAAAUUUUGAAACUCAUUUGACUGAACUAAAUUGGAUCAUUUGGAUGGAGAUAAUUCAGUCUAAAAUAACAAAUGACAAAAAUACCCUAAUUAUUUCAAGUGAUUAUUUAGAUAAAAAACAAAUAGACUUAAAUCUUAUUUUACAAUUAUUUUU
rnacentral:sRNA from 1 species